AGAGUUUGAUCACGCUCAGACGACGCUGCGGCGUGGAUAAGACAUGCAAGUCGAACGCUGACUUCAGGGUAGCAAUAUUCUGAAGUUGGAGUGGCGCAAGGGUGCGCAACACGUGGGCAAUUUGCCGUGAAGUUGGGGAUAACUCGCUGAAAGGCGAGCUAAUACCGAAUGUGACGGUUUGGAGGCAUCUCCGGAUCGUUAAAGUUGGGGACCGCAAGGCCUGACGCUUCUCGAUAAGCCCGCGGCCUAUCAGCUAGUUGGUGAGGUAACGGCCCACCAAGGCUAAGACGGGUAGCUGGUCUGAGAGGACGACCAGCCACACUGGAACUGAGACACGGUCCAGACACCUACGGGUGGCAGCAGUCGAGAAUUUUUCUCAAUGGGCGAAAGCUUGAAAGAGCGACGCCGCGUGGGGGAUGAAGGGCUUCGGCCUGUAAACCCCUGUCAUUCGCGAACAAACCCACUCAUCUAAUACCUGGGUGGCUGAUAGUAGUGAAAGAGGAAGGGACGGCUAACUCUGUGCCAGCAGCCGCGGUAAUACAGAGGUCCCAAGCGUUGUUCGGAUUCACUGGGCGUAAAGGGUGCGUAGGUGGCGGGAGAAGUUCGAUGUGAAAUCUCCGGGCUCAACCCGGAAACGGCAUUGAAUACUCUCUUGCUCGAGGGUCGGAGGGGAGACUGGAAUUCUCGGUGUAGCAGUGAAAUGCGUAGAUAUCGAGAGGAACACCAGUGGCGAAGGCGAGUCUCUGGACGACUCCUGA
rnacentral:rRNA from 1 species